rnacentral:lncRNA from 1 species
AUGAUAGAUUUAUUGGGCAGGGUCUUCAUCUGGUGUAAAUUGGCAUUGCUGCAUUGAUUCCUGUGGGGCUGUUGAUUUAUGCCAGCUGAGGAUCUGGUCCGUUUUCAUGAUAUUCAAAUAUCAAUCCUUGCAUCCCCUUUUCCCAUCCGUAGGCUGUUUUUUUUUUUUUUUCUUUUUUUUUUUUUUCUUUUUUCCUGUUGCACCUCUAAGAAGAAAACGCAAAUGAGUUAAGGGGCUGUCACCAGCCUAUAGAAGAAUUUGCUUUUCUUUCUUUGUGACUAGGAUCUCUCCUGUUAAUUUCAAUGGCAGAUUCCUCACAACUUUCUCCAAAACUUUUUACCAUGUCCUCCUGAGGAUGUCAGUUCCUAUUGCAGACUGAAACAUUAAGAGGAGAAGUUAUUAGCUAUUCUCUUUACAUACUGCCUUUCUUUAUAUCUGAAUUAUUAGAAGGAUGAAUGCUGGUCAUCAUAAGAAAUAAUGAGUUUUAGAAAGUGAAAAUGAAACUGGCAAAAACAAAAGAAAUCUGAUCUUGGCAGAAGGGUCCACAGAGAAGUAGAACAAAGAGGUAAAAGAUAAAAAAGAAAAAAUGAGAACUUAAAUGGAAAAAGAAAGGGAAGAAAAAGAAGAAAAGAGAAGAAAAGAGAGAUUUGGACUAAGAAAAAGCAAAGUAAUUCCUCAGCAGAAUUGAAAGCAGUCAUGAUGCAGGCAGAAGGAACAGAUCAUCAGAUCUUGAAAGACACUUCUCGUCCCCUUGAAUGAAUAUUAUUAAUACUGGUCAUUAUAUCUAAAGCCAAAUGGUAUCAUCAUACAAGUGACUUUGAUGGUUCCAGGGUGGACCUAGUAGUACGCAUUUGGAAGCAAAAUGAAACAAGAGCAGAAUGUCCUACAUCUGCAUGGAGCACAGAUAACUGGAAUGAACGAAGUCCAGAAUGGUACCCACAUACCACAGCAGCAAUUGAGAUACAGCUUCUUCCUAAAAUCAGCCAAGAUUGUUUUAUUUCUGAAUAAUAGGUGUCAUUUGAUACUUCUCUGAUGGACUUUUUCUUUUUUGAGUGAAGCUAAAUGAGAUAAGGUAAGACACUCUGAAAGUACAAAAACAGACUUUAAAAAGUGUAUUAUUUUAUUGCCUGAAUUUGG